GCGCCCGUAGCUCAGCUGGAUAGAGCGCUGCCCUCCGGAGGCAGCGGUCUCAGGUUCGCAUCCUGUCGGGCGUACCA
rnacentral:tRNA from 1 species